UACAGAGGUCCCAAGCGUUGUUCGGAUUCAUUGGGCGUAAAGGGUGCGUAGGCGGCGCGGUAAGUCGGGUGUGAAAUCUCGGGGCUUAACUCCGAAACUGCAUUCGAUACUGCCGUGCUUGAGGACUGGAGAGGAGACUGGAAUUUACGGUGUAGCGGUGAAAUGCGUAGAUAUCAAGAGGAACACCUGCGGCGAAGGCGGGUUGCUGGGCCGACACUGACGCUGAGGCGCGAAAGCUAGGGGAGCGAACGGG
rnacentral:rRNA from 1 species